UGAAGCCGAGGCCGGUCCUACAGCGCCACCUGGAGGUAGGCUGAGAGGCUCGCCUCUGCCUAGGUGCUCUUCUGAGAGCUGCUCUGGAAUUUAGGGGCGGCACCUUGUCCAGAACCAUCUGCAGACUCCCCUUAUUUGUUUUGGGCCCCAGAGCUUCUAGAUGGUCAUGCCCGAAGCAGUGGUGGAGUUGUGGCUUGUUCAAUAACAGAUUCAACCCUCAUCACCUUUAUGCAGAGUUAACUGUUGAGGUGGCAACUGAAGAUGGCAAUCUAACUAGCUUGGAGGUAUUGAAAUCGGCUUGUUGGGCUCAGCUCUCUCUCAGUUGUGUGACCGGUGUUAAUAAGUCAUUGGGCCUCACCAUCUCCGUCCCGCAAGGGGACAGGAGGUGAAGAUUCAGGGAAGUAGUAGUGCACAAGUGCUCCUUGUACUAUAUGGGAUUUGCACACAUCUGUAAUCUCAGCUUGUGGAAAGCGCAAGGUGAGUAUGAGCUUAAGCUACGUUCCAGAUCUAAGCUACAUGAGGCCUUGUUUCAAAACAAAACCACCUACGUGGUAUACAACCUGAUAAACUUAAGCUGGGCAUGGUGGUGCAUGAUUUUAAUCGCAGCCCUCAGGAGGCAGAAGCAGGUGGAUCUCUGAGUUCCAGGGCAGCCUGGUCUACAGAGUUCCAAAGCAACCAGGGCUACACAGAGAAAUCCUGUCUCAAAAAAAAAAAAGAAAAGAAAAUAUGAAAAAAUUUAAAUAAAGUACAGAAUGGC
rnacentral:lncRNA from 1 species